rnacentral:rRNA from 1 species
GAUGAACGCUGGCGGCGUGCCUAAUACAUGCAAGUCGAGCGAACAGACGAGGAGCUUGCUCCUCUGAUGUUAGCGGCGGACGGGUGAGUAACACGUGGAUAACCUACCUAUAAGACUGGGAUAACUUCGGGAAACCGGAGCUAAUACCGGAUAACAUGUUGAACCGCAUGGUUCAACAGUGAAAGACGGUCUUGCUGUCACUUAUAGAUGGAUCCGCGCCGCAUUAGCUAGUUGGUAAGGUAACGGCUUACCAAGGCAACGAUGCGUAGCCGACCUGAGAGGGUGAUCGGCCACACUGGAACUGAGACACGGUCCAGACUCCUACGGGAGGCAGCAGUAGGGAAUCUUCCGCAAUGGGCGAAAGCCUGACGGAGCAGCGCCGCGUGAGUGAAGAAGGUCUUCGGAUCGUAAAACUCUGUUAUUAGGGAAGAACAAAUGUGUAAGUAACUAUGCACGUCUUGACGGUACCUAAUCAGAAAGCCACGGCUAACUACGUG